rnacentral:rRNA from 1 species
CCUACGGGAGGCUGCAGUCGAGGAUCUUCGGCAAUGGGCGCAAGCCUGACCGAGCGACGCCGCGUGCGGGAUGAAGGCCUUCGGGUUGUAAACCGCUGUCAGAGGGGAUGAAAUGUGCGUGGGUUCUCCCACGUACUUGACAGAUCCUCAGAGGAAGUACGGGCUAAGUUCGUGCCAGCAGCCGCGGUAAGACGAACCGUAGGAACGUUAUUCGGAAUCACUGGGCUUAACGGUUGCGAAGGCGGGGUGGGAAAGCCCUCGGCUCAACCGAGGAAUUGCGCCCAAAACUACCGUACUUGAGGGAGACAGAGGUGAGUGGAACUUAGGGUGGAGCGGUGAAAUGCGUUGAUAUCCUAAGGAACGCCAGUGGCGAAAGCGACUCACUGGGUCUUUUCUGACGCUGAGGCACGAAAGCUAGGGUAGCGAACGGGAUUAGAUACCCUUGUAGUC